rnacentral:tRNA from 1 species
GGUAAGAUGACUGAAUAUUAGGUGAUAGACUGUAAAUCUAUUUAUGGGGUUAAUCUUCUCUUACCA